rnacentral:piRNA from 1 species
UGGACAAUGGUGCUCCUCACAUUCA